rnacentral:piRNA from 1 species
AGGAACCUAUGUUGGCUAUUGACUGCAGA